GACGUAGGAGGCAAGCGUUGUCCGGAGUUACUGGGCGUAAAGCGCGCGCAGGCGGUCACGCAGGUCAUCUGUGAAAGCACCCGGCUCAACCGGGUUGUUGCGGGUGAAACCGCGUGACUUGAGGUCGGGAGGGGUCGGUGGAAUUCCCGGUGUAGUGGUGAAAUGCGUAGAGAUCGGGAGGAACACCCGUAGCGAAGGCGGCCGACUGGACCGAUCCUGACGCUGAGGCGCGGAGGCCAGGGGAGCGAACGGG
rnacentral:rRNA from 1 species